UACGGGGGGGAGCAAGCGUUGUUCGGAUUUACUGGGCGUAAAGGGCGCGUAGGCGGCCAGCACAAGUCAGUUGUGAAAUCUCGGAGCUUAACUCCGAAACUGCAUUCGAUACUGCCGUGCUUGAGGACUGGAGAGGAGACUGGAAUUUACGGUGUAGCGGUGAAAUGCGUAGAUAUCGUAAGGAAGACCAGUGGCGAAGGCGGGUCUCUGGACAGUUCCUGACGCUGAGGCACGAAGGUCAGGGGAGCAAACGGG
rnacentral:rRNA from 1 species